rnacentral:ncRNA from 1 species
UUAAAUGCUAUGAAGAGGAAGAGUAAGUUAAACACAGUAUCAAGAGAGAAAGUGUCGUAGGCUGAAAGCACUUUUAUAUAUGAUUAACUGAAAACUACCUUGGAGCUGAAACUGAGUAUUUUGAAUAGAAAGAAAGGAUUUCGGUUGACUACCUUACAGUCUAAGAGUGGGCAUAUUGCCAACUUGGGUGGAACCGCGAAUAUAACUCUCGUCCCAACU